rnacentral:lncRNA from 1 species
GGCAUCUGCAGUGGCAUCUCGCUUGCAUCCUCACUGUUCAGGAAGCCAAUCUGCAGCACAGACUUCUCCAGGUCAAUAAGUUUGGUGACUGGAACCUCCCGGAUGGGUUGCCUCAUUCGGCACAGGGCCUCUAGGGAGGUGCCAAAGCAGCUGGGCAGGUAGCUCCCACUGAUGGUGAGGAAAUAGUCCUUCCCUCUGUCCAAGUGAAGGACGAGAAUAUCCUCAAUUUUAUCCUCGCC